rnacentral:rRNA from 1 species
GACGAACGCUGGCGGCGUGCUUAACACAUGCAAGUCGAACGGAAAGGCCUCUUUCGGGGGGUACUCGAGUGGCGAACGGGUGAGUAACACGUGAGUAACCUGCCCUUGACUUUGGGAUAACUUCAGGAAACUGGGGCUAAUACCGGAUAGGAGCUCCUGUUGCAUGGUGGGGGUUGGAAAGUUUCGGCGGUUGGGGAUGGACUCGCGGCUUAUCAGCUUGUUGGUGGGGUAGUGGCUUACCAAGGCUUUGACGGGUAGCCGGCCUGAGAGGGUGACCGGCCACAUUGGGACUGAGAUACGGCCCAGACUCCUACGGGAGGCAGCAGUGGGGAAUAUUGCACAAUGGGUGGAAGCCUGAUGCAGCAACGCCGUGUGCGGGAUGACGGCCUUCGGGUUGUAAACCGCUUUCGCUCAUGACGAAGCUUUGUGUGACGGUAGUGGGUAAAGAAGCACCGGCUAACUACGUG